CGGAGAUGUGGUUACGUUUUUUAAGCUAACUUCAGUUCUAAGAAAGUGAGUGAAGAUAUCUCAAAAUAGACAUCUCUCAAACAUCGAUUGUAUAAACAAAACAGCCGGAUGAGGUAAUGACCAUCUAUGAUAGAACUCUAACUUAGUAACCUGGAAAGAAGAUAAACCUUAGACGAUAAGGGAGGGAUUCAACCCCCACCCAUAAGUCGACAAGAAGGAUGCUAGAACAAAACGAGUUACAGGAUUCUAAACAAAACCGGAUUUAAAGUUUUAUUACCUAACCGAUUAUUAGAAGGUAGGUCAUCAUUUCUUUAGGAAUGAACACACGAAACAUCACCUGAGGCUGAAUGUUGGCGAUCUUGUUCCAGGAG
rnacentral:lncRNA from 1 species